UAGGCACGGAGCCAUUUUGGUUGUUUUGUCUGAGGUCCUCUGAGAUCAGACAGCUUACAGGAGAGGAGCAGCUGCGGUGUUGACAAGUCUUCCACCUCGAGGUUUCCUCUUCAGGAGAAGCUCAUAGUGUCCAAAACUUAAAAGUUUUGACAACUUUUAGUCCGCGAAAUGUCAAAUAUCACAACUCGUCCAGGAGGAAGACAUUGCAACAAGCUAGAAGCGACAGAGGUCAAAGGACACGCGGGGACUCUGAAGACGGUGCGCGUGGAAUGGCUGCUGUCAUGUACUAUAACCGGCUGGCACCCAGAGGCUUUGACUCAAAUAUGCGUCAAAUGGUGAGGCUCCUCCCGUCGAUGAUGUCUGCAGAAAAGGGUUUCAAAAUGGCCUAUAGAAAGUAAUGUGACAAAUUUAAACACUGCUAUUGGUU